UACAUGGGGUGCAAACGUUGCUCGGAAUUAUUGGGCGUAAAGCGCACGUAGGCGGUUCGUUAAGUCGGAUGUGAAAGCCCUCGGCUCAACUGAGGAAGUGCACCCGAAACUGGCGAGCUUGAGUACGAAAGAGGAUCGCGGAAUUCCCGGUGUAGAGGUGAAAUUCGUAGAUAGUCGGGAGGAACACCGGUGGCGAAGGCGGCGAUCUGGGUCGAUACUGACGCUGAGGUGGCGAAAAGCGUGGGGAGCAACAGG
rnacentral:rRNA from 1 species